rnacentral:rRNA from 1 species
AGCGAACGCUGGCGGCAGGCCUAAUACAUGCAAGUCGAGCGCACCUUCGGGUGAGCGGCGGACGGGUGAGUAACGCGUGGGAACGUGCCCUUUGGUACGGGAUAACUGAGGGAAACUUCAGCUAAUACCGUAUGUGCCCUACGGGGGAAAGAUUUAUGGCCAUUGGAGCGGCCCGCGUUGGAUUAGGUAGUUGGGGAGGUAAAGGCUCACCAAGCCUACGAUCCAUGACUGGUCUGAGAGGGUGAACAGCCACACUGGGACUGAGACACGGGCCAUGCUCCUACCGGAGGCAAGAUUAGGGAAUCUUUCGCCAUGGCGAAAGCCUUGCGCAACCAUGGCGGGUGAAUGAUUAAGGUCUUAGGAAUGUAAAAAUCUUUCACCGGGGAAGAUUAUGACGGUACCCGGAGAAGAAGCCCCGGCUAACUUCGUGCCAGCAGCCGCAGUAACAC